rnacentral:rRNA from 1 species
GAUGAACGCUGGCGGCGUGCCUAAUACAUGCAAGUCGAGCGAACAGACGAGGAGCUUGCUCCUCUGACGUUAGCGGCGGACGGGUGAGUAACACGUGGAUAACCUACCUAUAAGACUUGGAUAACUUCGGGAAACCGGAGCUAAUACUGGAUAAUAUAUUGAACCGCAGGGAGCAAUAGUGAAAGACGGCUUUGCUGUCACUUAGAGAUGGUUCCGCGCCGCAUUAGCUAGUUGGUAAGGUAACGGCUUACCAAGGCAACGAUGCGUAGCCGACCUGAGAGGGUGAUCUGCCACACUGGAACUGAGACACGGUCCAGACUCCUACGGGAGGCAGCAGUAGGGAAUCUUCCGCAAUGGGCGAAAGCCUGACGCAGCCAUGCCGCGUGAGUGAUGAAGGUCUUCGGAUCGUAAAACCCUGUUAUUAGGGAAGAACAAAUGUAUGUGUAACUAUGCCCGUCUUGACGGUACCUAAUCAGUAAGCCCCGGCUAACUUCGUG